AAAGAAAGUAAGCAAGGGCGCAUGGCGGAUGCCUUGGCUCUCGGAGGCGAUGAAGGACGUGAUAAGCUGCGAUAAGCUUCGGGUAGGUGCAAAUAACCUUUGAUCCGAAGAUUUCCGAAUGGGACAACCCGGCAUUCUGAAGGAAUGCCAUCCUGGAUAGCAGGAAGCUAACGCAGGGAACUGAAACAUCUUAGUACCUGCAGGAAAAGAAAAUAAUAAUGAUUCCCCUAGUAGUGGCGAGCGAACGGGGAUUAGCCCAAACCAAUGUUGUUACGGCAAUAUUGGGGUUGUAGGACCACGAUGUCGCAAGAACUUUAGUGAGAAGAAUUCUUUGGAAAAUGAAACCAUAGACGGUGAUAGUCCGGUAUUCGAAGCUAAACGAAGCGUAGUGGUAUCCUGAGUAGCGCGGGACACGAGGAAUCUUGCGUGAAUCUGCCGGGACCAUCCGGUAAGGCUAAAUACUCCCGAGAGACCGAUAGCGAACCAGUACUGUGAAGGAAAGGUGAAAAGCACUUCGAAUAGAAGAGUGAAAUAGUCCCUGAAACCGUGCGCCUACAAGCGGUCGGAGCAGCGUAAGUUGUGACGGCGUGCCUUUUGCAUAAUGAACCUACGAGUUACUUUUUCCGGCAAGGUUAAGCAUUUCAAAAUGUGUAGCCGAAGCGAAAGCGAGUCUGAACAGGGCGAUUAGUCGGAAGGAGUAGACGCGAAACCAAGUGAUCUACCCUUGGUCAGGUUGAAGGUUAGGUAACACUAACUGGAGGACCGAACCGAUAAGCGUUGAAAAGCUUCCGGAUGAACUGAGGGUGGGGGUGAAAGGCUAAUCAAACUUGGAGAUAGCUCGUACUCCCCGAAAUGCAUUUAGGUGCAGCCUUGGGAAUUACUACUGUGAGGUAGAGCGACUGAUAAGAUGCGAGGGCUUCACCGCCUAUCAAGUCUUGAUAAACUCCGAAUGCGCAGUAGUUCGAUCCCAGGAGUGAGGGCAUGGGUGCUAAGGUCCAUGUCCUAAAGGAGAAGAAUCCGGACCAUCAGCUAAGGUCCCGAAAUAAUUGCUAAGUUGAACUAACGAAGUCAGAUUGCUAAGACAGCUAGGAUGUUGGCUUGGAAGCAGCCAUUCAUUUAAAGAGUGCGUAACAGCUCACUAGUCGAGGAGUUUGGCGUGGAUAAUAAUCGGGCAUCAAGCAAUUUACCGAAGCUAUGGGAU
rnacentral:rRNA from 1 species